UGGGGAAUAUUGGACAAUGGGGGGAACCCUGAUCCAGCCAUGCCGCGUGUGUGAAGAAGGCCUUAUGGUUGUAAAGCACUUUAAGCGAGGAGGAGGCUCCUGUAGUUAAUACCUACAGUGAGUGGACGUUACUCGCAGAAUAAGCACCGGCUAACUCUGUGCCAGCAGCCGCGGUAAUACAGAGGGUGCGAGCGUUAAUCGGAUUUACUGGGCGUAAAGCGUGCGUAGGCGGCUUUUUAAGUCGGAUGUGAAAUCCCCGAGCUUAACUUGGGAAUUGCAUUCGAUACUGGGAAGCUAGAGUAUGGGAGAGGAUGGUAGAAUUCCAGGUGUAGCGGUGAAAUGCGUAGAGAUCUGGAGGAAUACCGAUGGCGAAGGCAGCCAUCUGGCCUAAUACUGACGCUGAGGUACGAAAGCAUGGGGAGCAAACA
rnacentral:rRNA from 1 species